AUGGAAGAGUUAGACGCCGGCCGUCGGCACCAACAGCCGGAGCUCCUCCGUUGCAUCGCUGGAGGUGGCAUAGCGCACAUGGAGGGGAGCCAUGGUGAGGAACGAGCUGAGCAGAGCCUGGUGCUGCGAGCGAGCGCGGCAUGGCGGCUGCGACUGCGAGCUAGACCAGGGCCGCUCGCUGGAGCUCACCGCGUCUAUCUCAGGAAUCGCGUGUGCGUGGGGAUUUUUUUGAAUUGGAUGCGACGCGAGGAAGACGAGGCCACGCGCGGCGUUCUAUUGUAUCAGCCUCAGAGCGACACGGUCUAG
rnacentral:rRNA from 1 species